rnacentral:tRNA from 1 species
GUGGAUGUAGCUCAGUUGGUAGAGCCCCGGAUUGUGAUUCCGGUUGUCGGGGGUUCGAGCCCCCUCAUUCACCCCA